rnacentral:ncRNA from 1 species
CGGAAAUAGAGUUGCAGGUUGGUAGCUCCUGCGCCCUUCGCGAUGGGUUCUUCUCCGCCUCGG